rnacentral:rRNA from 1 species
UAGGGAAUCUUCCACAAUGGACGAAAGUCUGAUGGAGCAACGCCGCGUGAGUGAUGAAGGUUUUCGGAUCGUAAAACUCUGUUGCGAGGGAAGAACAAGUACGAGAGUAACUGCUCGUACCUUGACGGUACCUCGUUAGAAAGCCACGGCUAACUACGUGCCAGCAGCCGCGGUAAUACGUAGGUGGCAAGCGUUGUCCGGAAUUAUUGGGCGUAAAGCGCGCGCAGGCGGCCUUUUAAGUCUGAUGUGAAAGCCCACGGCUUAACCGUGGAAGGUCAUUGGAAACUGGAAGGCUUGAGGAUA